ACAGCACUGACAGCACAAACCUCCCUCGAUUUCCAGCCCUCACAUCUUCAGUGAGGCCAAAGUUUCUGGUGAAACCUCUGUUAAUAAAUACCAGGAAGGCUCAGAUCAGUAACCACAGGAAGGAGGAAUGUGUUCCCUUUAAUGAGAAGUUGGAGGUUGCCAGUAGGGGAGGGUUUAUGCUCAACCUUGCCAUUGGGAAAUCACCAGGAAAGACUGGAAGGGGGUUGGUUUUGGCUACGAAUUCACCCUUUGCCCCAAGAGCAGGUGUGACAGGCACUGCCUGGCACACGGGCAGGGAGCUGUGUGCAGGCUGUGGACCACAGAGGAGGCACAGGUUUCCCUUUGCAGGACUGAAGGACCACCUGGUUAUCACCGUGUGCUACCAGAGAAGACCCCCAGUGCUCUCCAGAAAGCCUCUCUGUCUGCUCUCCUGGGGCCGUUUCUAAUAAAGCCAACUACAGAAAACCAGAUUCAGCUUCCUCCAGAUGCAUGGAGACAAGAAGUAGAAGUUUUGCCAGUUCUCUGCAUCCUCCUCUGACUCUGCCCCAGUGAGCCCUUCCUGCUGGCACUUCAGGAUCCACAGUGCAGCUCCAUCGACCAGGUUCUUCCACUGGCAGCAGACCAGGCGACACACCAGCACCAGAUCCACUGCAGGAAUUUCAGAGGCCCCGCCUGCUGAUGGAGCACCGCCGCUCUCCUCGUUAGCGAGGAUCCCCCGCGCUCGGGAGAGGGACGGAGGUACCUUCCCUUUCCCACCGCAGUUCAC